AUUGAACGCUGGCGGCAUGCCUUACACAUGCAAGUCGAACGGCAGCAUAGGAGCUUGCUCCUGAUGGCGAGUGGCGAACGGGUGAGUAAUAUAUCGGAACGUGCCCUAGAGUGGGGGAUAACUAGUCGAAAGAUUAGCUAAUACCGCAUACGAUCUACGGAUGAAAGUGGGGGAUCGCAAGACCUCAUGCUCCUGGAGCGGCCGAUAUCUGAUUAGCUAGUUGGUGGGGUAAAAGCCUACCAAGGCGACGAUCAGUAGCUGGUCUGAGAGGACGACCAGCCACACUGGGACUGAGACACGGCCCAGACUCCUACGGGAGGCAGCAGUGGGGAAUUUUGGACAAUGGGGGCAACCCUGAUCCAGCAAUGCCGCGUGAGUGAAGAAGGCCUUCGGGUUGUAAAGCUCUUUUGUCAGGGAAGAAACGGUUCUGGAUAAUACCCAGAGCUAAUGACGGUACCUGAAGAAUAAGCACUGGCUAACUACGUGCCAGCAGCCGCGGUAAGAC
rnacentral:rRNA from 1 species